CUAAAGGGUUAAGCCUUCUUAACACACUCAAGUGUUUUUUUUUUCUGCAUGAGACAAACAAACAAUAUCCUUAAGGGUGUUUUUCUUGGGUUACAAAGUUAUGUUAAAUAAAAAUAAAGAUGGAGGGAAAACCUUUGCUUCUGAGCCAAUGGCCCACACCAGCUCAAGAAAACUUAUAAAGACCGAUUCUGGAAAUGUCAGAAAUGAAGCUUGAGCUUUAUUUCCUUGUAAGCAUGACUCAGCACAUGCAGACAAUCAUCUAUUACCUAUGUAACCUGCUCUGAUCAUCCUAAAAGGAAAGAUACUGUAAAAUAACCAGUGAGAAUCAAGAUGUAUGAACUUUUUUUCCGUUUUUUAAACCUUAACUAUAACCUUUAGGAGAUGAGCUUCUUGCCAUUUUCUAUUUUGGAGUCUCUGUUCUGGAAUAGUGUGUUCUCAAUAAAAUAUUCAUGUCAAGUAAAA
rnacentral:sRNA from 1 species